GGGGGUGAUCGGUUUCGACGUUGAGAAUCAUUCCAGGGGAAGCGGGUCGAGGAUGUUGGGUUAUCUCGUUAACGCUCCCAGCAAACCAAUAGGUGCCGAUUCCAAGCGCACCGACUUCGCCCUCGCCGCCUGAGCGAGCCUCGAAGUCCGUCAGCCUGAGUUCGCUGCCGACUCAGUUCCUGGCGUCAGCUAGGUAGCUCGCUGUGCCAUCUUGUCGGGGGAUGGUGCGGGACUUUCACCCGACUGGGCCUGUCGACGGACGUGUGCGUACGAGCGUCGGGGCCGAGAAAAUCCUGUUACGUACUGCACCCGGAGAAGUCCUGGUUCGGUAUCAGCGGACGCGGGUUCGAUUCCCGCCACCUCCACCA
rnacentral:tmRNA from 2 species